GACGAACGCUGGCGGCGUGCUUAAUACAUGCAAGUCGAACGGAAAGGCCCUGCUUUUGUGGGGUGCUCGAGUGGCGAACGGGUGAGUAACACGUGAGUAACCUGCCCUUGACUUUGGGAUAACUUCAGGAAACUGGGGCUAAUACCGGAUAGGAGCUCCUGCUGCAUGGGGGGGGUUGGAAAGUUUCGGCGGUUGGGGAUGGACUCGCGGCUUAUCAGCUUGUUGGUGGGGUAGUGGCUUACCAAGGCUUUGACGGGUAGCCGGCCUGAGAGGGUGACCGGCCACAUUGGGACUGAGAUACGGCCCAGACUCCUACGGGAGGCAGCAGUGGGGAAUAUUGCACAAUGGGCGGAAGCCUGAUGCAGCAACGCCGCGUGCGGGAUGACGGCCUUCGGGUUGUAAACCGCUUUCGCCUGUGACGAAGCGUGAGUGACGGUAAUGGGUAAAGAAGCACCGGCUAACUACGUG
rnacentral:rRNA from 1 species